rnacentral:rRNA from 1 species
AGCGAACGCUGGCGGCAGGCUUAACACAUGCAAGUCGAGCGGACCUUUCGGGGUCAGCGGCGGACGGGUGAGUAACGCGUGGGAACGUGCCUUCCGGUUCGGAAUAACCCUGGGAAACUAGGGCUAAUACCGGAUACGCCCUUAUGGGGAAAGGUUUACUGCCGGAAGAUCGGCCCGCGUCUGAUUAGCUAGUUGGUGGGGUAACGGCCUACCAAGGCGACGAUCAGUAGCUGGUCUGAGAGGAUGAUCAGCCACACUGGGACUGAGACACGGCCCAGACUCCUACGGGAGGCAGCAGUGGGGAAUAUUGGACAAUGGGCGCAAGCCUGAUCCAGCCAUGCCGCGCGAGUGAUGAAGGCCUUAGGGUUGUAAAGCUCUUUUAUCCGGGACGAUAAUGACGGUACCGGAGGAAUAAGCCCCGGCUAACUUCGUG